rnacentral:lncRNA from 13 species
CAAGUGUGAAAUAUGCUACCUCCAGUAUAUUGAGCUUCUUUCUUAGUAGCAGAAGGCACAGGGCACACUAGCUCAUUCUUUAUUUGGAAGAAGAUUCUCAGCAUCCCCAAGAUCUUGAGCCCUCUAAAAAUAAUAACUGUGGCAGGUUUCUGGCUCUUUGUAGGGUUGACCUCCUGCUUUUGUGAGUACUUGUAUCUCUUGUUACUGAUACAAGAGGUCUUGUAUCUCUUGUUACUGAUACAUCUGAUACCAUAGGGCCGGCUGGAUCACAUGGCCUGAUAGAAAGGCCUGAUUUAUGUGAUGUCAUCAGGCAUGCUGUCAUCAUGACCUUUGUGAUGCUCUGUGGCCAGAUGGCCCAGGUCCCUUUGGAAAUACUAUGACAGAAUCAAGGAGAAUUACCAAAGCCCCAGGGCAGCACUGAGUGAAUACUGCUAUUCAUCCUAUGGCUAUGAAUGUGAACUAUUUUGGAUACUUCUUUCUGCUGGAUAUGGAAAAGACAGCAUUUGCCAGAUCAAUAGCUGCCUGCCACUUACCUUCAACUAUGUUAAGUUGCUCUGGGGAUAGGGGCAGCUUCAGAGGCUUCCACUUGACCUUUUGUAUGACAGAAGCUCUUAAUCUACUGGCCAAGAAACUAUGGGGCAUUUCUGUUGGAGGAAGCAUCGCCUUGGGAGAGAGAAGAGGACCAGAAUUUAGGCCUCAGAAGGGAAGAAUGAAGACCCCAAAGUUGCCACAUUCUAGGGAGCGCAGACCUCAGGAUUUUGAGGAGUUGGUUCCAUCAGCGUCAAGAGCCCAGCCAUUGCUCCUGAGCUUCAGAACCACAUAUCCAACUACCUACAAGAUACCUUCAUGA